rnacentral:lncRNA from 1 species
CUGCACUGCACUGUUGCCAUGGGCAGUGCUCCAGGCCUGCUUGGUGUGGACAUGGUGGUGAGCCGUGGCAAGGACCAGAAUGGAUCACAGAUGAUCGUUGGCCAACAGGUGGCAGAAGAGGAAUUCCUGCCUUCCUCAAGAGGAACACCUACCCCUUGGCUAAUGCUGGGGUCGGAUUUUGAUUUAUAUUUAUCUUUUGGAUGUCAGUCAUACAGUCUGAUUUUGUGGUUUGCUAGUGUUUGAAUUUAAGUCUUAAGUGACUAUUAUAGAAAUGUAUUAAGAGGCUUUAUUUGUAGAAUUCACUUUAAUUACAUUUAAUGAGUUUUUGUUUUGAGUUCCUUAAAAUUCCUUAAAGUUUUUAGCUUCUCAUUACAAAUUCCUUAACCUUUUUUUGGCAGUAGAUAGUCAAAGUCAAAUCAUUUCUAAUGUUUUAAAAAUGUGCUGGUCAUUUUCUUUGAAAUUGACUUAACUAUUUUCCUUUGAAGAGUCUGUAGCACAGAAACAGUAAAAAAUUUAACUUCAUGACCUAAUGUAAAAAAGAGUGUUUGAAGGUUUACACAGGUCCAGGCCUUGCUUUGUUCCCAUCCUUGAUGCUGCACUAAUUGACUAAUCACCUACUUAUCAGACAGGAAACUUGAAUUGCUGUGGUCUGGUGUCCUCUAUUCAGACUUAUUAUAUUGGAGUAUUUCAAUUUUUCGUUGUAUCCUGCCUGCCUAGCAUCCAGUUCCUCCCCAGCCCUGCUCCCAGCAAACCCCUAGUCUAGCCCCAGCCCUACUCCCACCCCGCCCCAGCCCUGCCCCAGCCCCAGUCCCCUAACCCCCCAGCCCUAGCCCCAGUCCCAGUCCUAGUUCCUCAGUCCCGCCCAGCUUCUCUCGAAAGUCACUCUAAUUUUCAUUGAUUCAGUGCUCAAAAUAAGUUGUCCAUUGCUUAUCCUAUUAUACUGGGAUAUUCCGUUUACCCUUGGCAUUGCUGAUCUUCAGUACUGACUCCUUGACCAUUUUCAGUUAAUGCAUACAAUCCCAUUUGUCUGUGAUCUCAGGACAAAGAAUUUCCUUACUCGGUACGUUGAAGUUAGGGAAUGUCAAUUGAGAGCUUUCUAUCAGAGCAUUAUUGCCCACAAUUUGAGUUACUUAUCAUUUUCUCGAUCCCCUGCCCUUAAAGGAGAAACCAUUUCUCUGUCAUUGCUUCUGUAGUCACAGUCCCAAUUUUGAGUAGUGAUCUUUUCUUGUGUACUGUGUUGGCCACCUAAAACUCUUUGCAUUGAGUAAAAUUCUAAUUGCCAAUAAUCCUACCCAUUGGAUUAGACAGCACUCUGAACCCCAUUUGCAUUCAGCAGGGGGUCGCAGACAACCCGUCUUUUGUUGGACAGUUAAAAUGCUCAGUCCCAAUUGUCAUAGCUUUGCCUAUUAAACAAAGGCACCCUACUGCGCUUUUUGCUGUGCUUCUGGAGAAUCCUGCUGUUCUUGGACAAUUAAAGAACAAAGUAGUAAUUGCUAAUUGUCUCACCCAUUAAUCAUGAAGACUACCAGUCGCCCUUGCAUUUGCCUUGAGGCAGCGCUGACUACCUGAGAUUUAAGAGUUUCUUAAAUUAUUGAGUAAAAUCCCAAUUAUCCAUAGUUCUGUUAGUUACACUAUGGCCUUUGCAAACAUCUUUGCAUAACAGCAGUGGGACUGACUCAUUCUUAGAGCCCCUUCCCUUGGAAUAUUAAUGGAUACAAUAGUAAUUAUUCAUGGUUCUGCGUAACAGAGAAGACCCACUUAUGUGUAUGCCUUUAUCAUUGCUCCUAGAUAGUGUGAACUACCUACCACCUUGCAUUAAUAUGUAAAACACUAAUUGCCCAUAGUCCCACUCAUUAGUCUAGGAUGUCCUCUUUGCCAUUGCUGCUGAGUUCUGACUACCCAAGUUUCCUUCUCUUAAACAGUUGAUAUGCAUAAUUGCAUAUAUUCAUGGUUCUGUGCAAUAAAAAUGGAUUCUCACCCCAUCCCACCUUCUGUGGGAUGUUGCUAACGAGUGCAGAUUAUUCAAUAACAGCUCUUGAACAGUUAAUUUGCACAGUUGCAAUUGUCCAGAGUCCUGUCCAUUAGAAAGGGACUCUGUAUCCUAUUUGCACGCUACAAUGUGGGCUGAUCACCCAAGGACUCUUCUUGUGCAUUGAUGUUCAUAAUUGUAUUUGUCCACGAUCUUGUGCACUAACCCUUCCACUCCCUUUGUAUUCCAGCAGGGGACCCUUACUACUCAAGACCUCUGUACUAGGACAGUUUAUGUGCACAAUCCUAAUUGAUUAGAACUGAGUCUUUUAUAUCAAGGUCCCUGCAUCAUCUUUGCUUUACAUCAAGAGGGUGCUGGUUACCUAAUGCCCCUCCUCCAGAAAUUAUUGAUGUGCAAAAUGCAAUUUCCCUAUCUGCUGUUAGUCUGGGGUCUCAUCCCCUCAUAUUCCUUUUGUCUUACAGCAGGGGGUACUUGGGACUGUUAAUGCGCAUAAUUGCAAUUAUGGUCUUUUCCAUUAAAUUAAGAUCCCAACUGCUCACACCCUCUUAGCAUUACAGUAGAGGGUGCUAAUCACAAGGACAUUUCUUUUGUACUGUUAAUGUGCUACUUGCAUUUGUCCCUCUUCCUGUGCACUAAAGACCCCACUCACUUCCCUAGUGUUCAGCAGUGGAUGACCUCUAGUCAAGACCUUUGCACUAGGAUAGUUAAUGUGAACCAUGGCAACUGAUCACAACAAUGUCUUUCAGAUCAGAUCCAUUUUAUCCUCCUUGUUUUACAGCAAGGGAUAUUAAUUACCUAUGUUACCUUUCCCUGGGACUAUGAAUGUGCAAAAUUCCAAUGUUCAUGGUCUCUCCCUUUAAACCUAUAUUCUACCCCUUUUACAUUAUAGAAAGGGAUGCUGGAAACCCAGAGUCCUUCUCUUGGGACUCUUAAUGUGUAUUUCUAAUUAUCCAUGACUCUUAAUGUGCAUAUUUUCAAUUGCCUAAUUGAUUUCAAUUGUCUAAGACAUUUCAAAUGUCUAAUUGAUUAGAACUGAGUCUUUUAUAUCAAGCUAAUAUCUAGCUUUUAUAUCAAGCUAAUAUCUUGACUUCUCAGCAUCAUAGAAGGGGGUACUGAUUUCCUAAAGUCUUUCUUGAAUUUCUAUUAUGCAAAAUUGCCCUGAGGCCGGGUGUGGUGGCUCACACCUGUAAUCCCAGCACUUUGGGAGGCUGAGGUGGGAAGAUCCCUUACUGCCAGGAGUUUGAGACCAGCCUGGCCAACAUUAAAAAAAAAAAAAAGUAAGACAAUUGCCCUGGAAUCCCAUCCCCCUCACACCUCCUUGGCAAAGCAGCAGGAGUGCUAACUAGCUAGUGCUUCUUCUCUUAUACUGCUUAAAUGCGCAUAAUUAGCAGUAGUUGAUGUGCCCCUAUGUUAGAGUAGAAUCCCGCUUCCUUGCUCCAUUUGCAUUACUGCAGGAGCUUCUAACUAGCCUGAAUUCACUCUCUUGGACUGUUAAUGUGCAUACUUAUAUUUGCUGCUGUACUUUUUUACCAUGUAAGGACCCCACCCACUGUAUUUACAUCCCAGCUGGAAGUACCUACUACUUAAGACCCUUAGACUAGUAAAGUUAGCGUGCAUAAUCUUAGGUGUUAUAUACACAUUUUCAGUUGCAUACAGUUGUGCCUUUUAUCAGGACUCCUGUACUUAUCAAAGCAGAGAGUGCUAAUCAAUAUUAAGCCCUUCUCUUCGAACUGUAGAUGGCAUGUAAUUGCAGUUGUCAAUGGUCCUUCAAUUAGACUUGGGUUUCUGACCUAUCACACCCUCUUUGCUUUAUUGCAUGGGGUACUAUUCACUUAAGGCCCCUUUCUCAAACUGUUAAUGUGCCUAAUGACAAUUACAUCAGUAUCCUUCCUUUUGAAGGACAGCAUGGUUGGUGACACCUAAGGCCCCAUUUCUUGGCCUCCCAAUAUGUGUGAUUGUAUUUGUCGAGGUUGCUAUGCACUAGAGAAGGAAAGUGCUCCCCUCAUCCCCACUUUUCCCUUCCAGCAGGAAGUGCCCACCCCAUAAGACCCUUUUAUUUGGAGAGUCUAGGUGCACAAUUGUAAGUGACCACAAGCAUGCAUCUUGGACAUUUAUGUGCGUAAUCGCACACUGCUCAUUCCAUGUGAAUAAGGUCCUACUCUCCGACCCCUUUUGCAAUACAGAAGGGUUGCUGAUAACGCAGUCCCCUUUUCUUGGCAUGUUGUGUGUGAUUAUAAUCGUCUGGGAUCCUAUGCACUAGAAAAGGAGGGUCCUCUCCACAUACCUCAGUCUCACCUUUCCCUUCCAGCAGGGAGUGCCCACUCCAUAAGACUCUCACAUUUGGACAGUCAAGGUGCGUAAUUGUUAAGUGAACACAACCAUGCACCUUAGACAUGGAUUUGCAUAACUACACACAGCUCAACCUAUCUGAAUAAAAUCCUACUCUCAGACCCCUUUUGCAGUACAGCAGGGGUGCUGAUCACCAAGGCCCUUUUUCCUGGCCUGGUAUGCGUGUGAUUAUGUUUGUCCCGGUUCCUGUGUAUUAGACAUGGAAGCCUCCCCUGCCACACUCCACCCCCAAUCUUCCUUUCCCUUCCGGCAGGGAGUGCCCUCUCCAUAAGACGCUUACGUUUGGACAAUCAAGGUGCACAGUUGUAAGUGACCACAGGCAUACACCUUGGACAUUAAUGUGCAUAACCACUUUGCCCAUUCCAUCUGAAUAAGGUCCUACUCUCAGACCCCUUUUGCAGUACAGCAGGGGUGCUGAUCACCAAGGCCCCUUUUCUUGGCCUGUUAUGUGCGUGAUUAUAUUUGUCUGGGUUCCUGUGUAUUAGACAAGGAAGCCUUCCCCCCGCCCCCACCCCCACUCCCAGUCUUCCUUUCCCUUCCAGCAGGGAGUGCCCCCUCCAUAAGAUCAUUACAUUUGGACAAUCAAGGUGCACAAUUAUAAGUGACCACAGCCAUGCACCUUGGACAUUAUUGGACAUUAAUGUGCGUAACUGCACAUGGCCCAUCCCAUCUGAAUAAGGUCCUACUCUCAGAUGCCCUUUGCAGUACAGCAGGGGUACUGAAUCACCAAGGCCCUUUUUCUUGGCCUGUUAUGUGUGUGAUUAUAUUUAUCCCAGUUUCUGUGUAAUAGACAUGAAAGCCUCCCCUGCCACACCCCACCUCCAAUCUUCCUUUCCCUUCCACCAGGGAGUGUCCACUCCAUAUACCCUUACAUUUGGACAAUCAAGGUGCACAAUUGUAAGUGAGCAUAGGCACUCACCUUGGACAUGAAUGUGCAUAACUGCACAUGGCCCAUCCCAUCUGAAUAAGGUCCUACUCUCAGACCCUUUUUGCAGUACAGCAGGGGUGCUGAUCACCAAGGCCCCUUUUCCUGGCCUGUUAUGUGUGUGAUUAUAUUUGUUCCAGUUCCUGUGUAAUAGACAUGGAAGCCUCCCCUGCCACACUCCACCCCCAAUCUUCCUUUCCCUUCUGGCAGGAAGUACCCGCUCCAUAAGACCCUUACAUUUGGACAGUCAAGGUGCACAAUUGUAUGUGACCACAACCAUGCACCUUGGACAUAAAUGUGUGUAACUGCACAUGGCCCAUCCCAUCUGAAUAAGGUCCUACUCUCAGACCCCUUUUGCAGUACAGUAGGUGUGCUGAUAACCAAGGCCCCUCUUCCUGGCCUGUUAACGUAUGUGAUUAUAUUUGUCUGGGUUCCAGUGUAUAAGACAUGGAAGCCUCCCCUGCCCCACCCCACCCUCAAUCUUCCUUUCCCUUCUGGCAGGGAGUGCCAGCUCCAUAAGAACCUUACAUUUGGACAGUCAAGGUGCACAAUUCUAAGUGACCGCAGCCAUGCACCUUGGUCAAUAAUGUGUGUAACUGCACACGGCCUAUCUCAUCUGAAUAAGGCCUUACUCUCAGACCCCUUUUGCAGUACAGCAGGGGUGCUGAUAACCAAGGCCCAUUUUCCUGGCCUGUUAUGUGUGUGAUUAUAUUUGUCCAGGUUUCUGUGUACUAGACAAGGAAGCCUCCUCUGCCCCAUCCCAUCUACGCAUAAUCUUUCUUUUCCUCCCAGCAGGGAGUGCUCACUCCAUAAGACCCUUACAUUUGGACAAUCAAGGUGCACAAUUGUAAGUGACCACAACCAUGCAUCUUGGAAAUUUAUGUGCAUAACUGCACAUGGCUUAUCCUAUUUGAAUAAAGUCCUACUCUCAGACCCCCUUUGCAGUAUAGCUGGGGUGCUGAUCACUGAGGCCUCUUUGCUUGGCUUGUCUAUAUUCUUGUGUACUAGAUAAGGGCACCUUCUCAUGGACUCCCUUUGCUUUUCAACAAGGAGUACCCACUACUUUUUAAGAUUCUUAUAUUUGUCCAAAGUACAUGGUUUUAAUUGACCACAACAAUGUCCCUUGGACAUUAAUGUAUGUAAUCACCACAUGGUUCAUCCUAAUUAAACAAAGUUCUACCUUCUCACCCUCCAUUUGCAGUAUACCAGGGUUGCUGACCCCCUAAGUCCCCUUUUCUUGGCUUGUUGACAUGCAUAAUUGCAUUUAUGUUGGUUCUUGUGCCCUAGACAAGGAUGCCCCACCUCUUUUCAAUAGUGGGUGCCCACUCCUUAUGAUCUUUACAUUUGAACAGUUAAUGUGAAUAAUUGCAGUUGUCCACAACCCUAUCACUUCUAGGACCAUUAUACCUCUUUUGCAUUACUGUGGGGUAUACUGUUUCCCUCCAAGGCCCCUUCUGGUGGACUAUCAACAUAUAAUUGAAAUUUUCUUUUGUCUUUGUCAGUAGAUUAAGGUCAUACCCCAUCACCUUUCCUUUGUAGUACAACAGGGUGUCCUGAUCAACCAAAGUCCUGUUGUUUUGGACUGUUAAUAUGUGCAAUUACAUUUGCUCCUGAUCUGUGCACUAGAUAAGGAUCCUACCUACUUUCUUAGUGUUUUUAGCAGGUAGUGCCCACUACUCAAGACUGUCACUUGGAAUGUUCAUGUGCACAAACUCAAUUCUCUAAGCAUGUUCCUGUACCACCUUUGCUUUAGAGCAGGGGGAUGAUAUUCACUAAGUGCCCCUUCUUUUGGACUUAAUAUGCAUUAAUGCAAUUGUCCACCUCUUCUUUUAGACUAAGAGUUGAUCUCCACAUAUUCCCCUUGCAUCAGGGGCAUGUUAAUUAUGAAUGAACCCUUUUCUUUUAAUAUUAAUGUCAUAAUUGUAUUUGUGGACCUGUGUAGGAGAAAAAGACCCUAUGUUCCUCCCAUUACCCUUUGGAUUGCUGCUGAGAAGUGUUAACUACUCAUAAUCUCAGCUCUUGGACAAUUAAUAGCAUUAAUAACAAUUAUCAAGGGCACUGAUCAUUAGAUAAGACUCCUGCUUCCUCGUUGCUUACAUCGGGGGUACUGACCCACUAAGGCCCCUUGUACUGUUAAUGUGAAUAUUUGCAAUUAUAUAUGUCUCCUUCUGGUAGAGUGGGAUAUUAUGCCCUAGUAUCCCCUUUGCAUUACUGCAGGGGCUGCUGACUACUCAAAACUUCUCCUGGGACUGUUAAUAGGCACAAUGGCAGUUAUCAAUGGUUUUCUCCCUCCCUGACCUUGUUAAGCAAGCGCCCCACCCCACCCUUAGUUUCCCAUGGCAUAAUAAAGUAUAAGCAUUGGAGUAUUCCAUGCACUUGUCUAUCAAACAGUGGUCCAUACUCCCAACCCUUUUGCAUUGCGCCAGUGUGUAAAAUCACAGGUAGCCAUGGUGUCAUGCUUUAUAUACGAAGUCUUCCCUCUCUCUGCCCCUUGUGUGCCCUUGGCCCCUUUUUACAGACUAUUGCUCACAAUCUCAGGUGUCCAUAUUUGCAGCUAUUAGGUAAGAUUGUGCUGUCUCCCUCUUCCCUUCCCUCUGCCCUGCCCCUUUUGCCUCUUUGCUGGGUAAUGUUGACCAGACAAGGCCCUUUCUCUUGGACUUAAACAAUUCUCAGUUGCACUUUCCUUGGUCCCACCCAUUAUACAUGAACCCCUCUACUUCCUUUCGCAUUGCUUCUGAGUAUGCUGACUACCCAAAGCCCCUUCUGUGUUAUUAAUAAACACAGUACUGAUUGUCCCAUUUUUCAGCCCAUCAGUCCAAGAUCUCCCUACCACUUUGGUGUGUUGGUGCAGUGUUGACUAUGAAAAGCAGGCCUGAACUAGGUGGAUAAGCCUUCACUCAUUUUCUUUCAUUUAUUAAUGAUCCUAGUUUCAAUUAUUGUCAGAUUCUGGGGACAAGAACCAUUCUUGCCCACCUGUGUUACUGCUUUACUGUGCAAAAUACUGAAGGCAAGUCAGACCCAGGGAGCUGGAUUGCCAUCCUUUAUUUUGUGUUUCCAGUGUACACUAUAAAAUUGUCUCCCCAGGAAGGAAGGUUGGCACUUUCUCUGCAUUCUUCUUUCCAGAGCAGAUUGCCUGGUUAAGAAUCUCUUGUUGUCCCCUUUGUAUAUUGUUAUUGUAAAGUGCCAAAUGCCAGGAUACAGCCAGAAAAAUUGCUUAUUAUUAUUAAAAAAAUUUUUUUAAGAAAGACAUCUGGAUUGUAGGGUGGACUCGAUAACCUGGUCAUUAUUUUUUUGAAGCCAAAAUAUCCAUUUAUACUAUGUACCUGGUGACCAGUGUCUCUCAUUUUAACUGAGGGUGGUGGGUCUGUGGAUAGAACACUGACUCUUGCUAUUUUAAUAUCAAAGAUAUUCUAGAGUGGAACUCUUAAGACCAGUAUCUUUGUGUGGGCUUUACCAGCAUUCACUUUUAGAAAAACUACCUAAAUUUUAUAAUCCUUUAAUUUCUUCAUCUGGAGCACCUGCCCCUACUUAUUUCAAGAAGAUUGCAGUAAAACGAUUAAAUGAGGGAACAUAUGCAGAGGUGCUUUUAAAAAGCAUAUGCCACCUUUUUUAUUAAUUAUUAUAUAAAAUGAAGCAUUUAAUUAUAGUAAUAAUUUGAAGUAGUUUGAAGUACCACACUGAGGUGAGGACUUAAAAAUGAUAAGACGAGUUCCCUAUUUUAUAAGAAAAAUAAGCCAAAAUUAAAUAUUCUUUUGGAUAUAAAUUUCAACAGUGAGAUAGCUGCCUAGUGGAAAUGAAUAAUAUCCCAGCCACUAGUGUACAGGGUGUUUUGUGGCACAGGAUUAUGUAAUAUGGAACUGCUCAAGCAAAUAACUAGUCAUCACAACAGCAGUUCUUUGUAAUAACUGAAAAAGAAUAUUGUUUCUCGGAGAAGGAUGUCAAAAGAUCGGCCCAGCUCAGGGAGCAGUUUGCCCUACUAGCUCCUCGGACAGCUGUAAAGAAGAGUCUCUGGCUCUUUAGAAUACUGAUCCCAUUGAAGAUACCACGCUGCAUGUGUCCUUAGUAGUCAUGUCUCCUUAGGCUCCUCUUGAUCUUCCUCAGAAGAAUAGGCUUGUUGUUUUACAGUGUUAGUGAUCCAUUCCCUUUGACGAUCCCUAGGUGGAGAUGGGGCAUGAGGAUCCUCCAGGGGAAAAGCUCACUACCACUGGGCAACAACCCUAGGUCAGGAGGUUCUGUCAAGAUACUUUCCUGGUCCCAGAUAGGAAGAUAAAGUCUCAAAAACAACCACCACACGUCAAGCUCUUCAUUGUUCCUAUCUGCCAAAUCAUUAUACUUCCUACAAGCAGUGCAGAGAGCUGAGUCUUCAGCAGGUCCAAGAAAUUUGAACACACUGAAGGAAGUCAGCCUUCCCACCUGAAGAUCAACAUGCCUGGCACUCUAGCACUUGAGGAUAGCUGAAUGAAUGUGUAUUUCUUUGUCUCUUUCUUUCUUGUCUUUGCUCUUUGUUCUCUAUCUAAAGUGUGUCUUACCCAUUUCCAUGUUUCUCUUGCUAAUUUCUUUCGUGUGUGCCUUUGCCUCAUUUUCUCUUUUUGUUCACAAGAGUGGUCUGUGUCUUGUCUUAGACAUAUCUCUCAUUUUUCAUUUUGUUGCUAUUUCUCUUUGCUCUCCUAGAUGUGGCUCUUCUUUCACGCUUUAUUUCAUGUCUCCUUUUUGGGUCACAUGCUGUGUGCUUUUUGUCCUUUUCUUGUUCUGUCUACCUCUCCUUUCUCUGCCUACCUCUCUUUUCUCUUUGUGAACUGUGAUUAUUUGUUACCCCUUCCCCUUCUCGUUCGUUUUAAAUUUCACCUUUUUUCUGAGUCUGGCCUCCUUUCUGCUGUUUCUACUUUUUAUCUCACAUUUCUCAUUUCUGCAUUUCCUUUCUGCCUCUCUUGGGCUAUUCUCUCUCUCCUCCCCUGCGUGCCUCAGCAUCUCUUGCUGUUUGUGAUUUUCUAUUUCAGUAUUAAUCUCUGUUGGCUUGUAUUUGUUCUCUGCUUCUUCCCUUUCUACUCACCUUUGAGUAUUUCAGCCUCUUCAUGAAUCUAUCUCCCUCUCUUUGAUUUCAUGUAAUCUCUCCUUAAAUAUUUCUUUGCAUAUGUGGGCAAGUGUACGUGUGUGUGUGUCAUGUGUGGCAGAGGGGCUUCCUAACCCCUGCCUGAUAGGUGCAGAACGUCGGCUAUCAGAGCAAGCAUUGUGGAGCGGUUCCUUAUGCCAGGCUGCCAUGUGAGAUGAUCCAAGACCAAAACAAGGCCCUAGACUGCAGUAAAACCCAGAACUCAAGUAGGGCAGAAGGUGGAAGGCUCAUAUGGAUAGAAGGCCCAAAGUAUAAGACAGAUGGUUUGAGACUUGAGACCCGAGGACUAAGAUGGAAAGCCCAUGUUCCAAGAUAGAUAGAAGCCUCAGGCCUGAAACCAACAAAAGCCUCAAGAGCCAAGAAAACAGAGGGUGGCCUGAAUUGGACCGAAGGCCUGAGUUGGAUGGAAGUCUCAAGGCUUGAGUUAGAAGUCUUAAGACCUGGGACAGGACACAUGGAAGGCCUAAGAACUGAGACUUGUGACACAAGGCCAACGACCUAAGAUUAGCCCAGGGUUGUAGCUGGAAGACCUACAACCCAAGGAUGGAAGGCCCCUGUCACAAAGCCUACCUAGAUGGAUAGAGGACCCAAGCGAAAAAGGUAUCUCAAGACUAACGGCCGGAAUCUGGAGGCCCAUGACCCAGAACCCAGGAAGGAUAGAAGCUUGAAGACCUGGGGAAAUCCCAAGAUGAGAACCCUAAACCCUACCUCUUUUCUAUUGUUUACACUUCUUACUCUUAGAUAUUUCCAGUUCUCCUGUUUAUCUUUAAGCCUGAUUCUUUUGAGAUGUACUUUUUGAUGUUGCCGGUUACCUUUAGAUUGACAGUAUUAUGCCUGGGCCAGUCUUGAGCCAGCUUUAAAUCACAGCUUUUACCUAUUUGUUAGGCUAUAGUGUUUUGUAAACUUCUGUUUCUAUUCACAUCUUCUCCACUUGAGAGAGACACCAAAAUCCAGUCAGUAUCUAAUCUGGCUUUUGUUAACUUCCCUCAGGAGCAGACAUUCAUAUAGGUGAUACUGUAUUUCAGUCCUUUCUUUUGACCCCAGAAGCCCUAGACUGAGAAGAUAAAAUGGUCAGGUUGUUGGGGAAAAAAAAGUGCCAGGCUCUCUAGAGAAAAAUGUGAAGAGAUGCUCCAGGCCAAUGAGAAGAAUUAGACAAGAAAUACACAGAUGUGCCAGACUUCUGAGAAGCACCUGCCAGCAACAGCUUCCUUCUUUGAGCUUAGUCCAUCCCUCAUGAAAAAUGACUGACCACUGCUGGGCAGCAGGAGGGAUGAUGACCAACUAAUUCCCAAACCCCAGUCUCAUUGGUACCAGCCUUGGGGAACCACCUACACUUGAGCCACAAUUGGUUUUGAAGUGCAUUUACAAGUUUCUGGCAUCACUACCACUACUGAUUAAACAAGAAUAAGAGAACAUUUUAUCAUCAUCUGCUUUAUUCACAUAAAUGAAGUUGUGAUGAAUAAAUCUGCUUUUAUGCAGACACAAGGAAUUAAGUGGCUUCGUCAUUGUCCUUCUACCUCAAAGAUAAUUUAUUCCAAAAGCUAAGAUAAAUGGAAGACUCUUGAACUUGUGAACUGAUGUGAAAUGCAGAAUCUCUUUUGAGUCUUUGCUGUUUGGAAGAUUGAAAAAUAUUGUUCAGCAUGGGUGACCACCAGAAAGUAAUCUUAAGCCAUCUAGAUGUCACAAUUGAAACAAACUGGGGAGUUGGUUGCUAUUGUAAAAUAAAAUAUACUGUUUUGAAAA